UGGACGCCAUCUCGGUCUUUCGCAGGUGGAGGUCCGUUCUGGGAAUGUUGCAAGGUAUCAGUUCCAUGUGGCUUUGGAUGGUGUCUGAUGGACAGGCCUGUGCCAAGGGAAGGAGACCAGCUGCUGCGGUCUUAACGCACAGGCAUCCCACCCUGGCCAUGGGCCGACAGGCGCUGAAAAGAACCAACUGGGAGUUAGAGUGGUGGACCUGAGUCUUGGAUAUGUCUGGACCAGCUUUAAUUUUUCCUGCUGAAAAUGGAUACACGUUCUCCUCUGUGGAUGGCAUGCUUGGGGUGCCGAUUUUGGAGACAUUUGAAAUAAAGGUGUGAAGAGUGAGCUUGUCAAGAAGGUGGCCUGGAAGAAAGAAUUUCAAGCACAGAGGUAGACCUGUUACCCUGAAGGUUUCCAGGCACUCAGGACGGCGGUCAGGCAGCUGAAUGGCCAGCUGAAAGGGAGCUGGGAUGGAUAUUCACGAGGCAGAAGAUCAAAUAACUGAAUUUUAAUAAAACUUUAUGUGUAAA